CCAUACUACCCUGAGUGUGUCUGAUCUCAUCUGAUCUUAGAAACUAAACAGAGUUGGGCCUGGUUAGUACUUGAAUGGGAGAGAGAAAAAUGAAGGAAG
rnacentral:rRNA from 1 species